UUAGGCGUGUUGUGUGUAAUUAGGCGAUAUAAUGUUCAAGAAUUAAUGUACCCAAAAAAAUGUUCAAGAAUUAACAAGGUUCUAAAACAAAGAGAAAUUUGGUGGAGAAACUAUUGAAAAGGUAACGGAGGAAACAAACUGUUGGAUUACAGAUAGUGAGUGGGAAUUGAAGACAAUUGGUGAUGGAUAGAAACUGUUUAGAGACGAGGCGGAGAGUGACUUCAAGUGGCGGCAGUUGUUACUAUUGCCGUUGUUGAGGAAUUUGAAGACAAAUUUCACACUGUCAUCAUAAACAAUUAUUGUUUUUUUUUUUGAAAAAGCGG
rnacentral:lncRNA from 1 species